rnacentral:rRNA from 1 species
CUGCGAGUGAGCGGGAAGAGCUCGAUUUCGAAUCUGGCGGUCUGCGGCCGUCCGAGUUGUAAUCUAGAGAAGCGUCUUCCGCGCUGGACCGUGUACCAGUCUCCUGGAAGGGAGCGUCGUAGAGGGUGACAAUCCCGUCUUGAACCCCGGACCACCGGGCUAUGUGAUGCGCUCUCGACGAGUCGAGUUGUUUGGGAAUGCAGCUCAAAUCGGGUGGUAGACUCCCUCUAAAGCUAAAUACGGGCGAGAGACCGAUAGCGAACAAGUACCGUGAGGGAAAGAUGAAAAGAACUUUGGAAAGAGAGUCAAACAGUACGUGAAAUUGCUGGAAGGGAAACGCUUGAUGUCAGUCGCGUCGUCCGGGGAUCAACCUUGCUUCUCGCUGGGCGUACUUCCUGGUCGACGGGUCAGCAUCGAUUUCGGUCGUCGUAAAAAGACGGGAGCGAACGUGGCACUCUUCGGAGUGUGUUAUAGCCUUUCGUACGUAUGCGAUGGCCGGGAUCGAGGAACUCGGCACGACCCCUCGAGGGUUCGGG